UACGUAGGUGGCAAGCGUUGUCCGGAUUUACUGGGCGUAAAGAGCGCGCAGGCGGUCGUUCAAGUCGCGUGUGAAAGCCCCCGGCUCAACUGGGGAGGGUCACGCGAUACUGAUCGACUCGAAGGCAGGAGAGGGUAGUGGAAUUCCCGGUGUAGUGGUGAAAUGCGUAGAUAUCGGGAGGAACACCAGUGGCGAAGGCGGCUUGCCAGAAUGCGCUCGACGGUGAGGGAUGAAAGCUGGGGGAGCAAACCGG
rnacentral:rRNA from 1 species